CCAAGUGCCAGAACAGAAAUCUGAUCUGCCCUGGCUGAUGAAACGCUGAAGUCAGCAGUUUGGGGCCACUCUGGCCGGAGCUGGGGCUGAGGCUCCCACGGCUGCCUGGUGGUGAGAAGCUGCAGGCCCAGCUCCCAGCCUCGACUCCGUCCUCACAUCAAUUGCUCCUCUCCCUGGGCCUCCAUCUCCUCAUCUGGUCACAGGGGGUAGGAAGAGAAGCAAGCUGCCCACCUCUGAGAACUUUCAUCAGGUAUAUACCCAGGAGAGAAAUUGCUCGGUCAUAUAUCAAUAAUAGCUCUAGUUUUAGUUUUUUGAGAAAACCCCAUCCUGUUUUCCACAGUGGCUGCACCAAUUUACAUUCUAAGGUUGCUGAUGCCUCAGGGAGGCUGUCCCAAACAAGCCUUCUGAACACACCCGAACACCACAGCGCAUCCAUCUGCAUCUGUGUCUUUACUGUAGGGCGUCCCACACCGCGUGAGCUGUAUUCUUCCCUUGUCUUUCCUGUUCACUGUGGACUGUCCCCAGUGCCUGGGGCAGUGCCUGGCACACCGUGGGUGCUCUAUAAAUACAUGCUAAAGGAACAGAUAAAAGUAACACACUUGAACAUGCAUCUACACACCGAGAGGUGUGCUCUGGGAGGGCAGAGCCCUGUGUGUCGGGGGCAUGUGGCCAGGGUGGCUGGGGAGGAGGCCCCGGGAAGUACAGGAAGAGCCAGGUGAAGUUAACGUGGAGAGGGAUCCACGUGGACCGGGCAGCUUGCGCAAAGGGCUGGGAUGGCAGGAAGCGUGGAGGGCUUAAGGAUUAGAGGCCAGCGGAGGCCAGCCCACACCGGCCCUGGGACCAUGCUGCCGAGUUGGAUUUUAGCGUGGGAGUCACAGGAAGUCAGGGAAAGAUUUAAAAUCAGCGGUGGCAAGGUUAGCCUGGCGUUUCAAGAAGUCUCUGGCUGGGUUUA